AUGCUGAGCUUGCUUAGCGGAUUAGUGGCGAACGGGUGAGUAACACGUGAGUAACCUGCCCUUGACUCUGGGAUAAGCGUUGGAAACGACGUCUAAUACCGGAUAUGACCUUCGGAGGCAUCUCCUGGGGGUGGAAAGAUUUUUUGGUCAAGGAUGGACUCGCGGCCUAUCAGGUUGUUGGUGAGGUAAUGGCUCACCAAGCCUACGACGGGUAGCCGGCCUGAGAGGGUGACCGGCCACACUGGGACUGAGACACGGCCCAGACUCCUACGGGAGGCAGCAGUGGGGAAUAUUGCACAAUGGGCGAAAGCCUGAUGCAGCAACGCCGCGUGAGGGAUGACGGCCUUCGGGUUGUAAACCUCUUUUAGUAAGGAAGAAGAACUUCGGUUUGACGGUACUUGCAGAAAAAGCACCGGCUAACUACGUGCCAGCAGCCGCGGUAAUACGUAGGGUGCAAGCGUUGUCCGGAAUUAUUGGGCGUAAAGAGCUCGUAGGCGGUUUGUCGCGUCUGCUGUGAAAACUGGAGGCUCAACCUCCAGCCUGCAGUGGGUACGGGCAGACUAGAGUGCGGUAGGGGAGAUUGGAAUUCCUGGUGUAGCGGUGGAAUGCGCAGAUAUCAGGAGGAACACCGAUGGCGAAGGCAGAUCUCUGGGCCGUAACUGACGCUGAGGAGCGAAAGCAUGGGGAGCGAACAGGAUUAGAUACCCUGGUAGUCCAUGCCGUAAACGUUGGGAACUAGAUGUAGGGGCCAUUCCACGGUUUCUGUGUCGCAGCUAACGCAUUAAGUUCCCCGCCUGGGGGAGUACGGCCGCAAGGCUAAAACUCAAAGGAAUUGACGGGGGCCCGCACAAGCGGCGGAGCAUGCGGAUUAAUUCGAUGCAACGCGAAGAACCUUACCAAGGCUUGACAUAUACCGGAAAGCCACAGAAAUGUGGGCCCCGCAAGGUCGGUAUACAGGUGGUGCAUGGUUGUCGUCAGCUCGUGUCGUGA
rnacentral:rRNA from 1 species